rnacentral:tmRNA from 4 species
GGGGACGAUCGGUCUCGACGGAAUGCUCUUUACAAUACUGCAAGCCAAGUUUGAUACACACUUGUCAAAAGGGAUCAAAAAAUUAAAGCAAGGAAUUCAUUCCAAGCUCAACCUAACUACGCGGUCGCGUUUGCUUAAGUUGCGUCCUGAGAUUUGACUCUCGGUCGAAUCGAAAGGGUGUAAACCAAUCCGAGAUGCCGUAAUUAUUUUUGAUUGGAAAUAGUUACGAAAGACAUUCAAUUUUACCCUUAGCUAUCCUUUUAGCUGGUAAGGCAUAGGGGACAAAUAAAUAACUAAAUAAGCUUGUAGAAGUUUUGUAGAAAGUUUUUUCGGACGCGGGUUCGAUUCCCGCCGUCUCCACAA